GCAAACUUGGUCAUUUAGAGGAAGUAAAAGUCGUAACAAGGUUUCCGUAGGUGAACCUGCGGAAGGAUCAUUAUUGAAUAAACCUGGCUGGUUGUCGCUGGCUCUUCGGAGCAUCGUGCACACUUGCCUUGCUUUAUCUUCAUCCACCUGUGCACCCUCUGUAGUCUCAAGGUUUUUGUCGACGGGUUUCUGUCGGAGGAGGAUCUGCCAUGCUGCGCUGUCUUCCUUGCCUUUGAGACUAUGUGUCUUUCCAUACACCAUGUAGUCUGUCGCAGAAUGUAGUCAUCGGGCCUGUGUGCCUAUGUAAUCACUAUACAACUUUCAGCAACGGAUCUCUUGGCUCUCGCAUCGAUGAAGAACGCAGC
rnacentral:misc_RNA from 1 species